AAUCUGUCUUAGUGGCGGACGGGUGAGUAACGCGUGGGCAACCUGCCCUGUACCGGGGGAUAACACUUAGAAAUAGGUGCUAAUACCGCAUAAUAGGGAAUACCGCAUGGUAAUCCUUUGAAAACUCCGGUGGUACAGGAUGGGCCCGCGUCUGAUUAGCCAGUUGGCGGGGUAACGGCCCACCAAAGCGACGAUCAGCAGCCGGCCUGAGAGGGUGGACGGCCACACUGGGACUGAGACACGGCCCAGACUCCUACGGGAGGCAGCAG
rnacentral:rRNA from 1 species